GGAAUAUUGGGCAAUGGACGAGAGUCUGACCCAGCCAUGCCGCGUGCAGGAAGACGGCGUUCUGCGUUUUAAACUGCUUUUAUCUGGGAAGAAAAGGCCCAUGCGUGGGACAUUGCCGGUACGAGCUGAAUAAGCACGGGCUAACUCCGUGCCAGCAGCCGCGGUAAUACGGAGGGUGCAAGCGUUGUCCGGAUUUAUUGGGUUUAAAGGGUGCGUAGGCUGCUAUUUAAGGCAGCGGUGAAAGACAUCGGCUCAACCGAUGCAGUGCCAUUGAUACUGGAUAGCUUGAGUGUUGGAGGGGUACAUGGAAUUGAUGGUGUAGCGGUGAAAUGCAUAGAUACCAUCAGGAACACCGAUAGCGAAGGCAUUGUACUGGCCAACAACUGACGCUGAGGCACGAAAGCAUGGGGAGCGAA
rnacentral:rRNA from 1 species